AUGCUGCCAGCCAGCUCGUGGCAUGAGCUCCUCUCUGCUCUCUGCUGUCAGGGAACCUGGCAAUUGUACUCCUGGAAUCCAAUGUCGCUCCACAGGCCGAUGGACGCUGAAACCCGGGAGGCCCACUGGAGAGCCUGGACGAGCACACUGGCCAGCAGCUUGCUAGCUCCAAACACAUGGAGCUGCAGUGGAGUGGAAGACCCUGGGGCACAUGGAAGGGAUCAAGAAGCAGCUCUCCCAGGAAGCCCGGCCAUCUGUGUGACACCACCUGAUAGCAACCUUUCCUGUGUUCCUGUUCCUGCUUCAUCUGGCCACUCACCUUCAGUGUCAAAGUAUAGGUCUCAAAGUCUAAGGUGGCUGACUUUAGACACCCACAAGGGAGAGGAAGGUCAGUCCUAGGGAGCAGGUGACAGAGAGGACUUCAGGGUGCACAGAGGAUGCCUGGGAAACCCAGCUCGGCGGGCCGUACCCAGAACUCCCCUGGUCACUCCCGAGGCCCACUCUGAGUGUUGGGGUGGAUGACAGGAGUGCAGGGAAACUGGAAAAGUAUCGAAUUUUACCUCAUAAAUAUGUACAACUAUUAUAUGUUAAUCCAAACCUUUAAAAAAUGUUUCAGGACACAGAAAUAUUAAAUAUCCUGAUUUGGUCAUUACACGUUGUAUACUGGGGCUCAGAAAU
ensembl:lincRNA